rnacentral:lncRNA from 1 species
GCCGCCACACGAUCUCAUGAGGUCAUAUCAAACCGCAUACCCAAAAGCCAUAUCCUGAAUGGUCGGCUGCCUGUGAUCCUGUUUGGUUGGCCUAGCCCUCGAUCAGCCAAGGUAGAAAGAAGAUAGAAUGUUUUCGAUCGAAUGAUCUUUGAUUGGCCUGACUUUUAGGGAUGACCUUUGAUCAGCUUGAUCAUUGAUCGGCCCUAUGUCAAAAGGA